rnacentral:rRNA from 1 species
UACAGAGGGAGCUAGCGUUGUUCGGAAUUACUGGGCGUAAAGCGCGCGCAGGCGGCUGGUUAAGCCCGACGUGAAAGCCCCCGGCUCAACCGGGGAGGGUCGUCGGGGACUGAUCGGCUUGAGGGCGGUAGGGGCCGGUGGAAUUCCCGGUGUAGUGGUGAAAUGCGUAGAGAUCGGGAGGAACACCAGUAGCGAAGGCGGCCGGCUGGGCCGACCCUGACGCUGAGGCGCGAAGGCGUGGGGAGCGAACGGG